rnacentral:rRNA from 1 species
UAUCGCGGAUCCAGAGAUGGAUCUUUCAGUUCGGCUGGAUACCACACAGGUGCUGCAUGGCUGUCGUCAGCUCGUGUCGUGAGAUGUUCGGUUAAGUCCGGCAACGAGCGCAACCCACAUUCUUAGUUGCCAGCAUUCAGUUGGGCACUCUAGGAAAACUGCCGAUGAUAAGUCGGAGGAAGGUGUGGAUGACGUCAAGUCCUCAUGGCCCUUACGGGUUGGGCUACACACGUGCUACAAUGGCAGUGACAAUGGGUUAAUCCCAAAAAGCUGUCUCAGUUCGGAUUGGGGUCUGCAACUCGACCCCAUGAAGUCGGAAUCGCUAGUAAUCGCGUAACAGCAUGACGCGGUGAAUACGUUCCCGGGCCUU